rnacentral:lncRNA from 1 species
AGAAGCGUCCGGAAGGGGCUGGAGUGAGAACUAGAGCUGCCCCCACUGGCCGGGUCGCAAAGGAUUCUGGGAUACUGGAGGACUCCUGGGGGUGGGGCUGGAGAGGGAAAUCACCUCCCUAGCUCAGCCUCUCCUCGCCUGACUGCAGGCUCCCUUCUCUCUGGAGCGCCCCCUGCAUCAUCCCUAGGACACGCAGAGUCCUUUCCCCAUCUCUUUGAGGACAUCCUCUGUGAUUAUUUGUUGUUCAGACUUCACUUGGGCUUUUCUUAGCAAAGACACUGGAGUGGCUUCCUAUUUCCUUCCCUGGCUCAUUUUACAGAUGAGGAAACUGAGACAAAUGGGGAAGUGACUUGCCAAAGGUCUCACAGAUGGUAAGUAUCUGAGACCAGAUUUUAAUUCAGAAAGAUAUCUUCCUGACUCCAGAUCUAAUGCUCUAUCCAUUGUGACACCUAGUUGUUCAUAAUUAUAUUUUAUUAAUAAUGAACACCACUAUUUUCCUAAAGGUCCUAUUUCUUCAGAGUAAGGUUUGCCCAUCCAAUGGGCAAAUGAGAAGCCAUAUUUGGCUCUUUCCAUUAUGACCUCCUAGUGCUUGUUAGCUAAGAUUUGGGAAUCAGUAUAUUUGCAUUUAAGGGCAUAUACAUUUAUGCACAGGUUUUAGUACUACUGUGUCCUUUCUUGGAUUUUGUCUCUUUUUGAGUAUCUCAACAACAUUGAAACUGUUCUCUAUGGUAGAGAGAUAGACAAGGCCAAUCUUUUCUUUCUCUAUUCUUUUUAAUAUAAAGUUCUUUUGACUAGAUUUGCAAGAAACUAGGCAACUAUAUAUAUAUAUUUUUAAUCCUAACCUUCUGUCUUGGUAUUUAUUCAAAGUAUUAAGACAGAAGAGCAGUAAGGGCUAGGCAAUUGGGAUUAAGUGACUUGCCCAGAGUCACACAGCUAGGAAGUGUCCAAGGGGAGAUAUGAACCUCCAUCUUCCCAACUCCAGGCUAGUAUUCUAACCACUGAACCACCCGACUACCCCCAGGCAAAUACAUUUUUACCAGCUUUUUAAAAAAGUAUUCCCUCUUUGGA